rnacentral:rRNA from 1 species
UACGUAGGGGGCAAGCGUUGUCCGGAAUCAUUGGGCGUAAAGAGCGUGUAGGCGGCCAGAAAAGUCCGCUGUGAAAACUCGAGGCUCAACUUCGAGCUGUCGGUGGAAACUUUCUGGCUAGAGUCCGGAAGAGGAGAAUGGAAUUCCUGGUGUAGCGGUGAAAUGCGCAGAUAUCAGGAAGAACACCCGUGGCGAAGGCGGUUCUCUGGGACGGUACUGACGCUGAGAACGCGAAAGC